GCUCCAAUAGCGUAUAUUAAAGUUGUUGUGGUUAAAAAGCUCGUAGUUGAACCUUGGGCCUGGCUGGCCGGUCCCCCUCACCGGGUGCACUGGUCCGGCCGGGCCUUUCCCUCUGUGGAACCGCAUGCCCUUCACUGGGUGUGCCGGGGAAACAGGACUUUUACUUUGAAAAAAUUAGAGUGCUUCAGGCAGGCCUAUGCUCGAAUACAUUAGCAUGGAAUAAUAGAAUAGGACGUGUGGUUCUAUUUUGUUGGUUUCUAGGACCGCCGUAAUGAUUAAUAGGGACAGUCGGGGGCAUCAGUAUUCAAUUGUCAGAGGUGAAAUUCUUGGAUCUAUUGAAGACUAACUACUGCGAAAGCAUUUGCCAAGGAUGUUUUCAUUGAUAAGGAACGAAAGUUAGGGGAUCGAAGACGAUCAGAUACCGUCGUAGUCUUAACUAUAAACUAUGCCGACUAGGGAUCGGACGGUGUUUAUACUUGACCCGUUCGGCACCUUUCGAGAAAUCAAAGUGC
rnacentral:rRNA from 1 species